rnacentral:sRNA from 1 species
ACUCGACUCCUGUAUUUUCACAGAAAAUGACGGUGUGGAUUCUGCUCCUGCUGUCGCUCUACCCUGGCUUCACUAGCCAGAAAUCUGAUGAUGACUAUGAAGAUUAUGCUUCUAACAAAACAUGGGUCUUGACUCCAAAAGUUCCUGAGGGUGAUGUCACUGUCAUCUUAAACAACCUCCUGGAAGGAUAUGACAAUAAACUUCGGCCUGAUAUAGGAGUGAAGCCAACAUUAAUUCACACAGACAUGUAUGUGAAUAGCAUUGGUCCAGUGAACGCUAUCAAUAUGGAAUACACUAUUGAUAUAUUUUUUGCGCAAACAUGGUAUGACAGACGUUUGAAAUUUAACAGCACCAUUAAAGUCCUCCGAUUGAAUAGCAACAUGGUGGGGAAAAUCUGGAUUCCAGACACUUUCUUCAGAAAUUCCAAAAAAGCUGAUGCACACUGGAUCACCACCCCCAACAGGAUGCUGAGAAUUUGGAAUGAUGGUCGAGUGCUCUACACCCUAAGGUAUUCUUUUGCAAAAGGAAAGGAGUAAUUGUUAGGAAGAAAACAAACAAACACAAAAAUCAACCAUAAGUCUCUAAAAGAAAAAAAAAAGGAAAUAAAUUUCAAGACUGCAUCAGGGUUGGCAUGCUAUCAAUUAGUAUAUGACAUCAAAACAUUAGUUUUUUCUUUUUGUUAUCAAUGAGCUUUUUCAAAGCACUAAUUAUAGACAAAGCUUAUUUUCCACAACUGCUAUGAAAACUAUUUUUUGUCACAACUGACCUGAAAUUUCCUUUGUCUUGCAAGAUCAUCUGACCUUUGCACCUACGCUUUGCACUCUUAUGCUUGGGAAUAUCUUCAUUUCCAAGGAAAUAGUUGCUAAAAGAGAAUUUUUGAGGUGUAUGUCUCCAUACAUCCUUCUCUUUUUAGCUUCACAAUAGCAGGCACCUAGAAUCUAUUAUCUUUCAUCUCCUGGCACCCCACUUCCCAUUAUGUUAAUAGGCUAUUUAAAUUAAUUUAUUGUCUAUCUUGGGAAUAGACAUGGGAGAAAGUUGAAGGAGCUAUGGUUCAGCCUCUGAAAUUAAAUUCUGAAAUUAAAUUGUGAAAUUAGAGUAAAAUGCUACCUUAAUAAAAUAAUUAUUUUAUGCCAUUAUCUUAGCACUUCAUAUUUUGCAUUUAAAACAUUUUUACAUUGAAGUUUCUCAUUGGUGGGAGUACAUUAUUAGACAGAAUAAUAGAUAAGUACAUAGUCUUACGAAUCAGACAUCUGACUUUGGUUCUUAGCUCUCUGUUUUACUAUCUGUAGGAACUAGGGCAACGCUCCAGCAUUUCUAUAUAAAGGGACUUAGGGGCAGCUAUCUGGUAGCAGGACUUUUAGUGUUAGAAGCUUUGUUUGCAUAGUAAGCAUGAUGUUUUUACAUGGUUAUGUUUUUAUUUAGAAAAAUUAAGUGAGAACUGAUGGAAAUUAUUGGGAAAGAAAGCACAACCAUGCUGUCCCACCCUGUACUGCCUCUCCCCUCACCUUGACAUCACAACUGAGCAAACUCUUUUACCUUUCAUUUCUUUAAUUUCUAUAAAACAGAUAUAGUUCUUCUGACCUUACGGAGUUGCUAUAAGGACAAAAUAGGGUGAUAAGUAAAGUGAUUAACAUAGAGCCUGAUAUAUAGUAAAUAUAGAAAAUAUUAAAAUUAUUUAUACAUUUUCAAUCAAAAUAAGAAUAAUGCAAUUCUAAAUCUUCAUAUCAAAUGAUUCAUGUUAAAUGUGCUUGCUCAACAUACAAAAUAUAAUACUUGAAUAGGCUCCAAAAUCUUUAUUAAUUAUAUCAGUUAUUAGAAAAAGCCACAAUUCCAAAAUAAAUUCAUUCCAGGCAUUUUAUAUUUAUCAUGGCUUUUGUAAACUUAGAGAUAUAGUAAUAACUGAAUUUAUUUUUAUUUAUUUAUUUAUUUAUUUUGAGACAGGGUCUCACUGUGUCACCCGCUGGAGUGCAGUGGCAUGAUCUGGGCUCACUGCAACCUCUACCUCCCAGAGGUUCAAGUGAUGUUCCCACCUCAGCCUCCCGAGUAGCUGGGACCACAGGCACGUGCCACUACACCCUGCUAAGAAUUUUUUUGUAUUUUUUUGUAGAUAUAGUCUUACUAUGUUGCCCAUGUGGUCUUGAACUCCUAGGUUCAAGCAGUCCGCAACUCAGCCUCCCAAAGUCUGGGGAUUAUAGGCGCCAGCCAAGGCAUCUGGCCAAUGCCUGAAUGUAGAAUCUAGUGGGUACAAAAUUCGCCUGAUACGUCAGAGCUCAGUCCAGCUUUUGAAAUAUGAAGCCAAUCAUACUAUCUCAAGUGUCUUUAUUGUUCUUAUAACAUUGUAGUCAUUUUGGGACUUAAUUUAUGGAAUCAUUACAUUAGUUAAUUAUGAAAGCCACCUCAAAAGUGUCACUAAUGGAGAUUCAAUCAAAGCUUGAAUGGUUACCAGUCUACAUAGAGAGAUGAUUUUGUUCUGGCUAUCUAAAAUGAGCUAUGAGUGUGUUUGUGUGUUUUUGUGCAUGCCCAAAGACAUUUAGAUCUGUAUCUAUGUUUGUAUCUGCAAUUAUAUUAUUUUCAAUUUUAAUAAUUCCAGUUUAAUUUGGAGUAAUAAUACUAAUAAAAUAUCAAGUUUAAUUGUAGCUUCCUUUAUGAAUAAAACUAUUCUUCCCUUUGAAGAGCAUAUAAAUAUAUAGUAACAAUGAUUAAAACCUCCAGCUUUGAAGGUAGAUAAUCCUGGGUCCAAAUUUCAGCUGUGCCUCUUGUUAUGUGACUUUGGACAAGUUCAGGUACAAUAAAUGCAUAACAAUACUUAUUAAAUGAGGAAACAAUUCACUCUACCCAGUGCUUCAUAGUUAAUUAAGGGCUCAAUAAUUAUUAGAUACAUUUUAACAUCAGUAAUUGCUCCGUUAUAUCAUAGAAUGAUAGAUUCUUAAUUCUGUUCAAUUAAAAAUUAUACUAAUUAGAAAAUCUCUUAAAAAUAAAUUUUCCUAGAAUAAUACUUUCCUCACAUCAACAAUAUCUCUACAAUGUAAGAAAUAUAGCUAAAAAUAUGAAAUUUUAAAAAUCAUCA